UUUAUCUAGUGAUCCCCCUUUUGGAGUAUUUGGCUAGCCCUGAUCCUUGGGUCUGCUUCUGCAGACGCUUUAGUGAGAAUGCCUCUAAAGUAAAGACUUUUAUCCCAUGGACACCAAACUGUUGAGAUGAAUUGAUUUUUGUGGAGGCAAUUUGGAAGAGCUGCAUACGGACUUAUAUUUUCUUUUGCUUCUCUGAGUACUCUGAAGACCUCCCACCUAUAGUGAAAUCUGCGUAGUCCUUCAGUGCCUCCCAGAUGUCUGAGAGGAGCGUGUCCUUGCCAAGGAAGGAGAACGGGGUGGCCAAUGAAUGUGGCUUGGGGUGGUGUUUCCACUCCAAAUAACCACAAGGCUCUUUGUCUAUGGUUCUCCAGGUGAAGUUGAAGGGAAGUAACGCUGUAGCCAUCAUCUACUCUCUGUUUGUUUAUCUACCCCUCUCCUGGUGUCAUGUCUUUCUUUUGUUGCAGGAAGCAAAGUUCUGGUAAGGGAAGUGCUGUGCACAUUGUGCAGUGUCUGUGCCCCUGUAUUAUCAGACCGUGUGGCAGCUUCUAACUAAAUUUUGGGUCCAAUAAUCAUAUUGGUGUCAUAGUAUCAGAAGAGAAAAAGGAAGAGAUCUAGCUAAGUCUUCUUGCCAAGCUGUCCCCUCCUCAAAUCUAUGUAAAGUCAGCAUGAUGGCAGCUGGUGGGAGUCAGAAGUGCACUUACUCAGAAUGUCUUUAGAUCUGAUUUCUUCUAUAUGGUGAGGAGGGCAAAAAAACAAAACAAAACACCACAUUGCAAGACAUUGAGAGAUAAUGAAACAGAGAAUUCUAUCAGGAGUUAAAGCUGUUUUAGGUUUUCAGCUCCAAAUGUGGGUUCUUUGUGGAAUUAUUUCCAGUAAUGACUCAUGGUGGGUGGUAAGUUGUGUAUUCAGCUCCCCAGUUAGUUGUCUUUGCGUGAGUUCCACUUUUAUCAAAUUAAAUAGAACAAAACUCAGGACAGAUGCUACCUGCUGAUCAGGAUGGUGUGGUACAUAUGCCACAGGAAUGCUGUGAUGAAACCACAAAGGCUGAAUAAUCCAGAUUGUGGGGUUUUUUUGUUGUUGUUGUUCCAGCUAGAGUAAAAAUUGACAUUGAUUUAAAUUCCAGCAUCAAACUAUCUUCAUGUCCUCCUGCACAACCUGAAAACAUUCGAAGUUGAUUGUAUUACAUCUUCAAAUUCCAAGGGACUCGGUUAUUUGAAUAUACCAGCUUGACAUAAUCCAGAUCAUAGUAUCUCUGUCACCAGGAAACUUACUGGGGAGAAAAAGGAGAUAUGUAACAGAAACUCUUCUGUACAAAUGAGCAGUGAAAGAGAUGGCAAGUCAUUUUCCAUCUCAUAAUUCAACAUCUUUUUAGGGCACAGCAGAGUUGAUGUGUCAGCUCUCUGAACGUGUGCACUAGUUCUUCCUUUUCAGUAUGGCUUUGUAAGUUCACACAUCUUCUGUGUCUCUUUGCUUUGAGAACAUAGAGGAAUUUCCUGACUCUGUGUGGUGCACAGCCUCUCCCAUGGAGGGAUCUGUGCACCUGCUUAUCCUGCUUCUAGUGCAGGGAUAUCAGGUGCUUUUUUCUUUAUCAGUGGAUGAUAAAGUGCAAGGACAGAAUGGCUAUGAUGUUACCAGUGGCUGUGAGUUAACUUUGCAAUAAGUUAAUAAUAUUUGGGUUUCAAAUCAGUCCAAACUUCCCCCGAAAUGUAAAAUCUUCUCUAAACUUAUUUCACUGAAAUGCUUAAAGCAUCCAUCUCUCUGUCAGAACAGAUUCCCCUUUUCAUUGUGUAUACAUAUGCAAACUGUUUAAACCACACGUUAUGCCGAGGAUAUGGGAUGGAAAGAAAAGUGUGAAGACUGUUUUGCCCAUAUGUUGAGGAAAAAAUCUGCAGCACACAGUAAAGAAGCUGCUAACAGGAAAAGUAUCUGAAGUUAUGUUACAAGGUAAAAGACAAGACUGUGGCUGUGAAAACAAACUAAAACAAGAGAAGGAGAUAAAAUACCUUUU
ensembl:lncRNA